UACGUAGGGGGCAAGCGUUGUCCGGAAUUAUUGGGCGUAAAGCGCGCGCAGGCGGUUGAUUAAGUCUGGUGUAUAAACCUGAGGCUCAACCUCGGGACGCAUUGGAAACUGGUCAACUGGAGUGUAGGAGAGGAAAGUGGAAUUCCACGUGUAGCGGUGAAAUGCGUAGAUAUGUGGAGGAACACCAGUGGCGAAGGCGACUUUCUGGCCUAUAACUGACGCUGAGGCGCGAAGGCGUGGGGAGCGAACGGG
rnacentral:rRNA from 1 species